GACACAAUGUUUGCUGGUGACAUUGUUUACCUCUGGAGAGGACUGGAUGGCUGAGGGAUACGAUGAGGACUUUGGAUAUUGGCAAGGUUAAGUAACGUGCACAGUCCACACUCACCAUUGGUAAAGGCAGGACUCAGACCUUGGUCUGAGGGACUUCACACAUAUUCCUAACCAUGACACCAGCCACCUUUCAUCCACUUCAGCUGACAUCUGUCUGGCUUGAGGCCGAAAGAGGGGACACCUUGCAGUCUGCCCGAGCAGCAGCCAUUUGAACCUCCCCCUGGUGCCCUGAGGCUCAAGAACACUUGGAGAGAUAGAAGUGGGAGUUGGCUUGAUUCAUGAAGGAGGAGAGUGAUGGCUUACAAGAUGAGUUGUUCGAGUUUCAAUUGGAGAGAUAAUGCCAUUUAAGAUGAGGAUAACUCCGUGAUGCCUCAGAUGAUUUCAUUGCAGCCUUUGCCUAGACUGCAACAUGGCCAAUAAUGCCACGCCUUGCAUAUGGGUGGCCGUUGUGGCACUUCAGACAUUCUCUAGUAACAGGACCUCGAUGCUGAGAGACAAAAUCUGCAUCCUCACCUGUCAGAUAAGACAGCCCAAAGAGUGAGUGUGGUCACCAGACCAUGCUCUACACGUUAGAACAAAGGACCCCAGAAGCACAUCUGCCCCAGACUCAACCAGAUGGGCUUUGCUGUCCAGACAACAUAGGUGGAGACCUCACAUUUCGAGGGAACGUGGAACACGGAACACUUCAGAUUUUCAACGAUGCUGGAUUUGAGCUGUUCACUUGAAAAUAAAGUCUGUUGCAUCACAAGUGCUGGUUGGCAUCGCUGUCCUCCUAUCAGUGGAUUAAGAAAAGGCACAGCGAAAAACUAGUUUAAAAUCACCAGUCGGAUAUUUUACAGGUGCUUUCUAUUCAGAAGAGGAUAAAAUACCUUGGAGAGAAAAAAGAUGGAAGAGAGAAGAAUUUCAAUUUUGGAUUAUUAUUUUUAGCUGGACAAAUUGAGAGGAAAAAGUUCUCAAAUUUUAUGUGAAAGAAGAUUUAUGAGAUAUGAAUGAACUGCUGUCAUUAGAUACCGCCUUAUUAUACGCCAGCUGGUCAUCAGCAUGGAGGAGUUCAAUGUGAAGAGCGAUUGCAGGGAAUAAAUUCUCCAUUCUUCACCCAUGGAGCUGAUGUUCUGGACCUGUCAACACUUUGCCCUAAUCCACUGGUGCAUUCUGACCUGAGGUGGUCGGGCACCAGGACCCCAGGAGGCUGUGGGAAGUGAGGGGCCAGCCUACUGGAGCCCACGUGGGACCAGGUGGAGCCUGCAACACGCAGUCCUCUCCCAGACAGCAGAUUGGGGGUUAGUAUCUGAGAGUAGCAGCCUGCAAGCCUGGACUUGCAUCCCGUCUGCCACUUACUUUCUACCUGCAUGAAGUUAAAGACUUUUAGCCUCUCUCAGCCUCAGUUUGCUUAUCUAUAAAGUGAGUGAAAAUUAUGCCCAUAUCAAAGGGCUUUACGGGUUAACAGUACUUGUUGAGCACCUUGCACUUAGCCUGGCAUACAGUUAAUAUGUAGUAAAUUAUUAUUUUUCAAAAUAGCAAAGCUAGUACUCUUGAAUUUGGCCCAGUUGAUACCAAGUUCUAAUCAAUGAUAUUAUAAGCCAUGAAUAUGCUUGUGGAAAAUAAACUCUGAAGAAUUUGGAUCAAUAGAGUGAAGGGAAAAGUUGAAUCGUUAUGGGGUUGAUGCAAGCCUAAAAGUUGUCUUCAAUCUGAACUGGUAAGCAAUGCUUACCAAUUUAGCAGACUAAAGUCUGUUCUCACACUGCUGAUAAAGACAUACCCAAGACUGGGUAAUUUAUAAAUAAAAAGAGUUUAAUGGACUCACAGUUCCAUGUGGCUGGGGAAGCCUCACAAUCAUGGCAGAAGGCAAUAGGCACAUCUUACAUGGUGGCAAACGAGAGAGAUUGAGGGCCAAGUGAAAGGGAUUUCCCCUUAUAAAACCAUUAGAUCUUGUGAGACUUAUUCACUGCCACAAGAAGAGUAUGGGGGAAACCAGCCCCAUGAUUCAAUUAUCUUCCACUGGGUCCCUCCCACAACACGUGGGAGUCAUGGGAGCUACAAUUCAAGAUGAGAUUUGGGUGGGGACACAGACAAGCCAAGCCAUAUCAAAUGCCCACCUUGCCUUCUGCAGAAGCUGACUGCUCAGGGCCAGCUGGCUUUGGCUCCUGCAGGUUUGGUCUCAGAGCAGGCAGCAACAAUGGUGGGCUUUGAACUCUGGCUGGGCAAUUCUUUCUUGAGAUUGGGACAAGCUGAAUGGGAAAGUCACCAUGCUUUUGUACGAGAUCUUCUCCUCUCCUCAGGGAGAGAAGCACCCCACUCUAACCCACAUAGGAAGAGCCAAUAUCUCAUCUUAUCCUCAGGAUAACUCCUGAGGGAGUGGGGAGGAACUGUUAUUAUUCCCAUAUCACAGAUGAAAUGACUCAGACAGGCUCAAAGUCACAGAAGAGCUGAGUGGUAGCAUGGGGUGAGCCCACAGGCAGUUUGACUGAAGAGAUGACACCCUCAGCCAGUGUCCUUCCCCUCUGGGUACGGAGCCUGUAAAGGUGUACCCUGAAGAUACAGAGGAAGGUAGCACACCAAAGAAGACUUUCCACAGAGACUGAUUUUAUUUCAUAUUUAUGGAUGCUAAUGUAGAGAGAAAUAAUAUUAAAUCCAUAGCAAUAGAUUAAAAUACUCUUAGAGAAGGCAGGUAAUUAAGGAGCAAGGGUGAAAAAGGCUUGAUUAUUUAAAAGAAAAAUCGUGAGGAUGAAAGAUCUUCUCGGAGCAGCCAUCAGAAGAGUAAGGAAAAUCUGUUCUUGGGGUAGGAACAGGGUGGGCAGCAUGGUGAAUGUGUUGAUUUGGGACACACCAGUAACAGAAGGGUCUGUGGUCAUUACAGAUUGAGGCCGCCAUCGGCUCCUAGUGUGAACUUGUUAUCGGAGUAUUUUAUAGUCCACCUGACCAAAAAGAACAACUGGACUGUGAAAUGAUAGAGCAAAUAAAAAAAGCCGUAAAAGAGCCAGACUGAUAGUAAUGGGAGAUUUUAAGUACCUGAGCACAGAGCAGAGUGCAUUAAGUGGGUGAAAUAAAGCUUGAAGUGUGUGUGGAGGAGGCGGUGGGGAGGGGAGAGUGGGAGGUGAGAGGAGGCUGGCGAGGAGGGAGGCGAGUUCUCCGGAGGGGACUGUCUAACUCAGCACCUAACAUAUCAUAGAAUGUAGAAGGGGUAAUUAAAACGAGCAUCUGCAUUAGUGCAUUGGCUCCUGGCCGGGUCAGCCCUAUUCUUUCUCCUGGUCUGUGCAUCCAAGGAAAGUCUUCCACAUCCAGAUUACUACAUCAUCGCAUUGUUCAAAUUGCACUGUUUAGUGUAUUUGUUUAAAAUUUAAAUUGCAUUUCUGGAUUAUAGUUUUAAAACAUGUUUCUGAAUAAAUCUCAAAAUGAGACUUUCUGUACUAGUAAAUAAAUACAUGUAUU
rnacentral:lncRNA from 10 species